AAUUUUUUAAUAGUUGUUCCAUGAGAAAGAGAGAUUUCAUUUUUGAAUGGUUGUUCCAUAUGAGAGAUUCUCAUUUUGGAAUCGCUGUUCCACGAGAGGAAGGAUGGCCAUUGAGUCAGGGGCUAGAUUCAAAUAGUGGUAUUGGACUGCAGUUCCAUAUGACCUGGGUUGCGUCUCGGUCUAAAUCCAUUGCAGACCUAAUAGUGUUGGGUUGUGUUUGGUUUGGGUCAACAUUUGCCUUACCCGACUUGAUAUUUAUAUAUAUUAUUUGUAUGUAUGCAACAUUAUUUGUAUAUUAUGAAUAUUCGUAAUUUUUUUUUCCAUUUAUCUAUACUUGGACAUAAUCGUUCCCAAUUGAUUGGGUUUGGGCGCAAUGGCCUAGAGCCAAUAAAGGUCUGGGCCGGUUUGGGUCUAACUAGGAGCUAGUCAGGACAGGUCCAUGUUGGGGUUGACCUGGAUUUCACUUGAACCAUUAACAUCCUCCGAGAGAGGUAAUAGGCCGGGACCUUGGCCUAGGCUCGUCCCAUGACCCUAUAGGGUGGGGGCAAACUGUGCGAAAGGGGGCCAUGACCCGGUUCGGGGCCGGGGUGGGCCGGGCCUAAUUAAAAAAAAAAACAAAAAAAAAAAUCAGUUGGGUUAGGCCAUCAUGACCCUCACCCGUGGAUUGGCUAGGCCCUUGGGCUACAUUUUGUAGCUUUGCCCAACCUUUUUAGAAUGGGGUUGACUGCGAUGGGCCGGGCUGGGCCGUCCGGCCCAUUGCCAGCCCUAGUCAUAGGCUUUGUAUAUGUUGUGGAACUUUGAAAGAUUGACGAAGAAUUGUAUUUUCUGCUUUAUGGGCUUGAAGGAUAGGUCAAUUCUAAGUUGGUGCGCUGCUAUUUGGGGAUCAAGCCCAGGCAUUUCAUUGUAAUACCAUGUAAAUACAUCUCGAUUUGCUUGAAGAAAAGUGACAUUCUUCUUUCUCUUUAGGGGGCAUAACUGUUGAAAUAAAAGUCGGCCUUGGAUCAGUUAGAUCUCCCAAAUUUACCUCUUCAAGGUCAUUAGUUGUGGCCUGCCCACCAUCUUCUAAUACAUUAGGUGCUUCCUUCAGUUCUACCUCUUUUGACAUAAAGGAGAAGACCUGGCUUCUUGAGAAUCAAAAGAAGCAAUGUCCUCAUUCUUAGGGACUUCAAAGAAGAGGAUAAAAUUUGUAAGGAAACAGUCACAUGGGUCACUUGUUCUGUCAUAAACGACUGGUAAGUAGACUCCAUGUAGCGGAGACUUUGUUUGUGGGUGUGUUGAGAUGCUGUCGAUUCAAUAACUGCAAAUGGUGCUAAUUCUCCUUUUACCAUCUUUGAGACCUUGAUUUGUUGCAGUCGUAUAAUCCAUUUUUUUCAUAAUUUGAUGAGCUUGAGGACUAUAAAGAUCCCAUUUUGGUGCCACCACUUCGUUGGACUGGUUGAGACUUUGGGUUACCUUGAAUUCACUAGUUUUUUGAGAUUCUGGGGUGAAUCUUGGCAAGGUGGUCACAAGUACAGAGGAAGGCGUUGUUUCUUCCAUCUUGGUCUUACCCUUUCUCACAGCUUCCGUUUGGGUCAUGAUUUUCAUUUGCCCAAGCAAGUAUUGAACUUGCUCUUUCAGCUCAUCAAUCUGGGUCUAUCUUUGUCGUUCAAACUGAUGAAGGAUGAGGGUGCGCUGCCCAAUAUCCCAUGUGCCUCAUGUUUAUAGCUAGUUGAGUGAGUGAGGUAAGCCUUAUCUUCCUCCUUGGGCGGGACUAGGAUAGGCAAGACCUCGAGGAUUCUUGAGGCUUUCUGGUGCAGGGGCUCAAAAUGGGGGUCAUUACUCUGGGUUGGGAAGAUUUCGGGUAUUUGUGAUGUUGGACGAUAGUAAUGGGUAUAGCUGGUUUGAGUAGGUAUUCCUUCAGUUUGAGCUCUACGAGUAGCAUCUGUCUUAAGAAAUGAGAUGGGGAGAUGGAGUAUUUUCGAGAUGGGGAGAUGGAUUAUUUUCUUGUUAUCAGGGGUAUGGGUGACCAUUGGAGUUUCAAUAAUAGGGUCAACUGGCUUCUCCGCUCUUGGGAUUCGCUCUACUUGGGCUAUUGUGUGAAAAGCCUCUUGGGAAGAUGAGGAGGUUUCUCCUUCAUGGUAUUGGGAGGUACUUCUGAGGGGGAAUAAGGCAAGUUUGACUCUACAAGGGGUAAAGGGAAUAUCUUGCAUUCUCUCUUUUCUUCUUGGAACAUGCCUGCCAAUAACCUAGCCAUAUCUUUUACAUCCUCAUGAGAAGUAUUAGAAGUUCUCAUUGUAUGGCUAGUCGCAACCCCUUUAGGUGGUUCUUGCUUGGAAGGUCGUACUGGAUCUGUGAAAUAGUAUUUUGCAUCAGCAUAAUAGUAUUCAAUAGUGGGAAAGGGUCUCUUGUCGACAUAAAUCGUGUACUGUCUACCCUUACGGUUAUACGUGAAGCAUUGAUGGAGUGUAGAAGGAACCACCCCAUGAUCAUGAAGCCAUGGUCAACCAAGCAGGAUAUUAUAGGAUGUAUCAGUUUCUAUGACAUGAAACAAGGCAUACUCAUUUAAAUCCCCAAUCUUGAGAUGAAGGCGAACUGUACCGGCUGGCUUUUCCCUCGAUUGGUUAAAGCCUUGAACCAUCAGAUGCAUGGGCUAUAAGUUUGCAUCGCUCAAACCAAUGCGGGUAGGACUUCUCCUUGCGAUGAGGUUUAUGGCCGAACCUCCAUCCAACAUAAUUCGGUUAAUUGAAUGAGCAUGGAGAUCUCCAGUUACAAAUAACGGCCGGUUAUGAAACUUUUCCCCCAACUGGAGAUAAUCAUUUGAAAAAGUGAUGACCAUGCAUGUGGUGAGAAUUGAUGGGUCUACUUCAAUUGGUUCUCCUUGUUUCUCAUAUAUUUUUGGGCAGGAGAGAGCUUGUAUUAAAGCCAUACGAAACUCUCUUAAUAGCAUUAGACCGUCAUAGAUGCUCAAAAGGGCUGGUAACUUCCUUAAAUGCCUAAGCAUGUCAUACUUGACCUUGGCUUCAUUCGGAAGAACAACCCCUGAAGCCCCCAUUGGUUUUGGAGGAACUGCAGGUGGUGGAGUGGCUUUUGGGAUUUCUGGUUGCACAGUAGGUGAUGGAGGUAAGGGAGCGACUCUUGUGAUGAGAGGCACUGAUGUAGGUGUUGAAGAAGUAGAGGAAGGCUGGUUGGGUUGCACAGCUGGGGUAGGUGUUGGAAGAAUGGAGGUUGUGGUAGUUGAGGGUUUUCAGGUUUGUUGAGAAAGGUAGGAGAAGGGUUUGGGUAAGGGACCAAGGGUGGCGCAGGAUAUUUGAGGAGAGGUGGCUGUACAUAGGGAGUGGUUGGUGGGUUUGGAUAUGGGAUAAGUGGUGGCCCAGGGUAUUCAAGAGUUUAGGUCGUUCAGACUUUUGGUAAGGCUGAAGUCUCUGUCCUGAUCUCAACUCUAGUUGGUCAGCCUCAAUUGUUGCAUUUCCCACUAUGAGAAAUACCAUAUGGCAUGCUUCAAAAGAACUCCCUCCUUUAGAGCCUUUACAAUGAGGCUUUCUCUUAGCAAUAAAAGCCAUAGCAUCUUCUACACUCAAGAAUCCUGUUUGUUGGGCAAUCAUCUUCUUCACCUGUUUACGAUGUCGUUUGCUGGUAUUACAUAGUUUAAGCUCUGCAUCAAGGGCAUCAAAAUCCAAGCAUUCAAGGUCAGGUUGGGGUAUGUUGGGAGAAGAAGAGUUUGGAGAGUCGGAGAUAGAAGAAGAAGAGGAGAUUGAAGAGAUGGGGUGAGAGAAGGACUAGGAGGAAUUUAGAGAAUUAGAAGAAGAGUAAGGGUUUGAAGAAUUAGGUUUAGAAAAGGAGAGCUUUUUGAUUUGUCACUGGUAUUAGUCUCCAAAAGACUUUUAAUGUUUGCAUUCUCAUUGGACGUAAUCAAUGACUUUUUUACCUCAUAACUCUUGUUGGACAUUUGCAGAGAAUCUUGAAGGUCUUCACCACAUGGACUAUUGAAGGGUAUUUUUAGAGUCCUUGCUUUCAUUGGACUGACCUAGAUGCGCUCUCGGAAUUUGUCCCCUUGUUGGAACAUCCCGGAUUAUUUCAGGAACCACCAUUUCGUGUUAGAUCUCUUGACUUGCUUCUUGACUGUCCCUGGCUAGAAGAAUUUACUUUGAAACAAAGUCAUACGGGGUUGGAAGAGGAGGAAUGGGAGGGAGAAAAGUUGCUUCAAGUGAAGGUUGUGGUAGCCUCCUUCUCCGGCAUUGAGCCUUUGAUGGUCGAUUACCCUUUCCUUUCUUUUUGACUGGUGUGACCUUUCGGGGCUAGGGUGGUACAGGUACAACUUUAGCUUGCCGAAUUGCCUCUCUCUUAAGGCUCUUCAUCAAACCAUGCCCAUGGUAUACUAUCCAAGGCUCUGAUGUCUUAAUGGGCGUUUCCAAGAUCACGGGUUUAGGAGGGACCACUUCUUCGAAUGUUUGAAGGGACGAUUGAUUGGUCUCAGGAACACCAUGAAUCCCUUUUGGCCUGAAUGGUGUAUCUUUCCUUUCUAGGGGAAUACGGAUGAAUCAUCUCUUGUGCUACUGGCAUGUCAAACAUGACAGGAAGGAAUUCCGGAGAUAUUUCAUCUGAAUGCACAUCUUGGAAUUGCUCUUCAACAAUCGUGAUCACAUUUGAGGUUUCAGCCGCUUCAAAUACUUUCUUAAGAUUCCCCAGGUGAAUCUGUCCUCUUUGGAUUAAAGCCUCAAUGUGAUCCUUGAGAUGGAAGCAAUCCUGGACAUGAUGGCUAAGCAUCCGAUGGUAAGUGCAAUAGUUUUUAUUGUUGGUAAGCCCCACCUGAUCUGGUCUUGUAGGUUUUGGUAAUACUAUCAUCCCCUGUUCUAAUAGCACGUAAUGGAUGGUUUCAUCCCCUGUCCUAAUAGCGUUUUUAUUGUUGGUAAGCCCCACCUGAUCUGGUCUUAUAGGUUUUGGUAAUACUAUCAUCCCCUGUUCUAAUAGCACGUGAAGGAUGGUUUUAUCCCCUGUCCUAAUAGCAUGUAUAGGAUGGUUGGAACCCAAUCCCUAUGAAACUAUAUUGCUUGCUCAUCCUCUGCUGAAAUGAGCUGGGUUGAUAAAUGUUAGAAGGUGGGGGAACCUGUCGUUAGUCUCGAGGCUGUGGUGGGUUGAUAGAGGUUAGGAGGUGGGGGAGCCUGUCGUUAGUCUCGAGGCUGGGUGGUCGGGGUUGAGGUUGCCCUUGCUCUUUUAACUGUUUCAGCCCUUGAGAUAUAUCUAAGGUUUUGAGGGGUGUUGAACCAGUGGGAGGUUUAGACUGAGUUGGGGUAGCCGUGUCAUAAAGUGACAAUGAAUCGAAUUUAUUGAUCAAAAUUCAUAUGCAUGUGACAAUGGAAAAAUACAAGAAGUUUACGUAUGAUAAUGGCAAGAGAUCCAUGUUUUUUUUUU